rnacentral:rRNA from 1 species
UAGGGAAUCUUCGGCAAUGGGGGGAACCCUGACCGAGCAACGCCGCGUGAGUGAAGAAGGUUUUCGGAUCGUAAAGCUCUGUUGUUAAGGAAGAACGAGUGUGAGAAUGGAAAGUUCAUGCUGUGACGGUACUUAACCAGAAAGGGACGGCUAACUACGUGCCAGCAGCCGCGGUAAUACGUAGGUCCCGAGCGUUGUCCGGAUUUAUUGGGCGUAAAGCGAGCGCAGGCGGUUAGAAAAGUCUGAAGUGAAAGGCAGUGGCUCAACCAUUGUAGGCUUUGGAAACUGUUUAACUUGAGUGCAGAAGGGGAGAGUGGAAUUCCAUGUGUAGCGGUGAAAUGCGUGGAUAUAUGGAGGAACACCGGUGGCGAAAGCGGCUCUCUGGUCUGUAACUGACGCUGAGGCUCGAAAGCGUGGGUAGCAAACAGG